GAAAUGCGAUAAGUAAUGUGAAUUGCAGAAUUCAGUGAAUCAUCGAAUCUUUGAACGCACCUUGCGCUCCUUGGUAUUCCGAGGAGCAUGCCUGUUUGAGUGUCAUGGAAUUCUCAACUCUAUUUGCUUUUGUGAAUAGAGCUUGGAUGUGGAGGUUUAUUGCUGGUACUUGUGAUCGGCUCCUCUUGAAUGCAUUAGCUCGAACCUUUGCGGAUCAGCUAUCGGUGUGAUAAUUGUCUACGCCGUUGCAGUGAAGCAUAUCAAUGGGCUCGGCUUCCAAUCGUCCUUUACUGGACAAUGACUUUGACCUUUGACCUCAAAUCAGGUAGGAUUACCCGCUGAACUUAAGC
rnacentral:misc_RNA from 1 species